UAGGCUCGGAACUGAGGAUUUCAGUAAAAAGCAUGAAUAAGAAAAAAAGGAAAGAAACCAAAUGUUCCUAAAUGGUCUACUCAAAGAGCAAGAUUCCUUGUAGGGGUUACCUUGGAAAAGACAAAUAGAAACCAGCUUCCCCUGAGGAAGCACAUUAUCCAACAUUACCUAAGAGACAGAUUUCCAAAGAUGUGACUGAAACGUUUAAUUGCUUAUCCGCUUGUAAACAAAACAUUCGGUUAGCCUUUUUUUUUUCUCACUAAAAUAAGUGAGAGUUUUUAACAAUAUAUAUAAGUAACAUCAAAAAUAUUUUUGGAUUACAUCAGAUAAAAUGUCUGUAAUGUAUUUAUACUCAUUCCAACCAGGAGAGAAUGUUUGAAGAAUAUUUAUAUAAUAUUGUUCAAAAAAUGAUUUUCGUUUAUAUUAUCGUGCAUUGAAGAUAGUGUUUAUUGCGAAUUUGGUUGUAUUCUUUCUGGAGUUUCGAUUCCAUGAAGAAGGACACGCUUCAGGGUCAUUUCUGAUAACAACCUGAAAGUCCAAGUUGAGAAUUAUGUAAAAAAAUGUAUAAAAAAGUAAAAAAAUCUCAGUUCAAAGUAGGAGUUAAUUAUAAUGGUACUUGAAAAAAGCUUACAAUAUCUUUAGAAGGUAACAUAAAUAAAGAAGUGCCUAAAAUGGACAAAAUUUAACAUAUAAGUCAAGAUUAAAAAUAUAGCAAUAACACAAACUCUUGUGAAUCAAAAAGUAAACUUUGACUACCAAAUUUUAUCCCUAUUGGGCACUUAUGUGUUUCUAUAAAGUGAACUGAAUAAACCUUAGCAGUCUUUUUUUAUAUUAUAAAUAACCCACCUCAACAUUUUUUAAAAACUUCAUACAAAAUUUAGCUAUACAGUUGUUUUUUUUUAUAGGAUUGUUUUGGGCUGGUGAUGAUUUGGAAAUUCUUCACAGAAGUUUGCAGUAUAAUAGACGCAUACUGAUAUAGGACAAGGAAGAAGAUUUACUUUUUAUUCAGGACCAGAUGGAAAGACAAAAAGUGGUGAUAGGAGAACUUGAUGGUCAUUUUGAGCAGGUCAGUGCGAGAGCAAAAUUAAGAGAAAGCCAGGAAAUCUUUUCUGUACAAGCAGAAACAGAGAUAUAGGCAAGAUUUUUAACUGAAAAUAAAGUUAGUUUUGAUGAUUGUGAACUUGAGUGUACUGAUCAAAGUUUUGAUGAUAAGGAUUUUGAGAUAUCUCGACCCAAAAGAAGGAGAUCUGCUAAAGAUUAGGUACUCAUACUCCCUAGAGAUAUUGUGUCAAAAGUUGCUAUAACUGCAAUUGGAAUGGGAAUUUCUAAUAAUCAAGCAAAUGCACUUAUAAGUUCUGUCGUUACCAGUGCUGGUGGAAAUAUUGAUGGUUUUACAUUAUCCCUCUGCUCCGGGCACAGAAUAUCUGACCAAAUUAUACCAGAGGAUGCAGCUAUUCUUUAAGGUAAUAUAAGUAAAAUGGUUACUAACACUAAUACACCAGUAAUUUUACAUUUUAAUGAGAAAAUCAUUAGGGAUUUUACAGGUGCAACAGAUGAGACAAAAGGCCAAGUGUGUUUCUUUAUAAGAUUUAACAAUGAGACCCACCUUUUUGGCGUGCCAGGAUUGGACCAUGGAACAGGAGAGGAACUUCUGUAGCUAAAAUAUUUUUAGCUACAGAAGUUACUUGAUUCUUUUUAAAGUGGUUGGUUCCUUCAUGAGUUAAGCUUUGACACUACUGCUUCGAACACUGGUGGUCUCAAAGCAGUCUGCACAAUGUUGGCUAAGUUUCAUAGCUGGAAGUUACUUAUGAUGGCUUGCAGACAUCAUGUAGGUAAAACUCACAUCAAGCAUUUUUCUGAUGCUGUGGCAAUUCACAAAACUGUUGGUCCCCAGAACCCAUUGUUUAAAUCACUGAAGCAGUACUGGCAAGAGGUUGACAUAAAUCAAGUGAAGGAGUUAGUCAAAUUCAACUACCAAAAGUUCAGUUAAAUAAGUAUGUGCUUGUUCCUUCACCCGGUACCUGGGUGGAGGAACAAGCGUGCUUAGCACUGAAAACCUGCAAACACCUCAAGGACCAAGGUGUAUUGAGAAACACUGAGACAUUGUAUAAACCUGGUGAAUACUGCGAAUUAGCUUCUGUGAAUUUUGCUGCCUUUUAAGUUAGGAUCAGAUGAACUACUGGGAGAUAUGCCACUAUGCUAGUUUUAAGCCUGAAGCCAAAGUUGUUGUCAAAUCAUGGGAAAAUCAUACCUGAUACCUAGAUCCAUCUACAGUUAUAAUGUUGAUAGCCCCUUCUGACAGUAACCAUUACAAGGAUAUGGAAGAAAUGGCGAAGUUUCUAUACUUAACCAAGUGAGAUGACCAUAACAAUAAUGAAGUUAUGAGAGUCAGAGCAGUUCUUCCAGAUGUUACCAGUGUUUUUCAGCAUAAAGAUCAUCCCCCAUCUCUAGCUUCUUAUGUUUCCACCGAUUCGUGAUUAAUCUUCACCAUUCUAGGGUAUAAUAUAGAAAAAUGUAUCUGAAUGAAACUUCCACAAAUCUUUUGGAAAGAAUUUAGGUUAUUUUGAGUUCCAGAAUUUUGUUAAAUCUAUUGAUGUGGUCAAGAGUGAACGAAAGCUGCAGAACCUACUUCAACUAAAAAACGCAUGGAUAAAACCAGGAAAAAAGACAAAAAAUGCGUACAAGGAGUCAGCUACUGCCGUUGCUCCAGCAUUAAUUGUUUCACAGAUAGUAUCUUUUGCUCUGGAUCCUUUUACUCUAGCAGAACUACCCAAUAAAACCUCUUUUUAAAAUGCUUAUUACAUUUCUAUAAAACUGCAAAUAUCUAAUUGAUUUGUAAAUACA
rnacentral:lncRNA from 1 species